rnacentral:rRNA from 1 species
GGCCGGGUGUGUAAGCGCAGCGAUGCGUUGAGCUAACCGGUACUAAUGAACCGUGAGGCUUAACCUU